rnacentral:rRNA from 1 species
UACGGAGGGGGCUAGCGUUGUUCGGAAUUACUGGGCGUAGAGCGCACGUAGGCGGCUUUGUAAGUUAGAGGUGAAAGCCCGGGGCUCAACCCCGGAAUUGCCUUUAAGACUGCAUCGCUAGAAUUGUGGAGAGGUAAGUGGAAUUCCGAGUGUAGAGGUGAAAUUCGUAGAUAUUCGGAAGAACACCAGUGGCGAAGGCGACUUACUGGACACAUAUUGACGCUGAGGUGCGAAAGCGUGGGGAGCAAACAGG